rnacentral:rRNA from 1 species
GGAUGAACGCUAGCGACAGGCCUAACACAUGCAAGUCGAGGGGCAGCACAAGGAGCAAUCUGAGGUGGCGACCGGCGCACGGGUGAGUAACACGUAUGCAACCUGCCUGUAAGCGGGGAAUAACCCGUUGAAAGACGGACUAAUACCGCAUAAUACUAAAUUACUGCAUGGUAAUUUAUUUAAACAUUUAUGGCUUACAGAUGGGCAUGCGCAUGAUUAGCUAGUUGGAGAGGUAACGGCUCCCCAAGGCAACGAUCAUUAGGGGUUCUGAGAGGAAGGUCCCCCACACUGGUACUGAGACACGGACCAGACUCCUACGGGAGGCAGCAGUGAGGAAUAUUGGUCAAUGGACGAGAGUCUGAACCAGCCAAGUCGCGUGCAGGAAGAAUGUCCUUAAUGGAUUGUAAACUGCUUUUGCAGGGGAAUAAAGUGCAUCACGUGUGAUGUUUUGUAUGUACUCUGCGAAUAAGGAUCGGCUAACUCCGUGCCAGCCGCUGC